UGAGCGCGCGCUGAACAUUGGAGCGCGUUCAUUCAGAUUAAAACACUGGAGCGGAGGGAGUUGGCAUGGAAACGGGCGGUCGACAACACUGGCAAGCUGCACGCUCCGUGUCUCGCUGCUGUUUUCACUGAUUUCGAAAUGUUUAAGUGUUUUCGAACAAGUCCGUGAGCAUCUGAACCUUUAUCAGAGGAGAUUCUUCUAGUGCUUGAUGAUCUUCUGCAUCCCAUGAUGAGCAAACCUCCUGUCCAACAACAUCUCCAAGGCACACUGAUCCAUAUGACUAGCAGGUUUACCCCAAACAUACACUAAUGCUAUCCUUACCAAUUUCUGAAAUAAUAUUACAAUUUAAAAUAGCAGUUUUUGGUGAAAUGUAACUUAUUCCUGUGAUGUGCAGCUGUAUUUUCAGCAUCAUUCCUCCAGUCUUCAGUGUCACAUGAUCUUCAGAAA